GACAGGGGGUGCAAACGUUGUUCGGAUUUACUGGGCGUAAAGCGCGUGUAGGCGGCUUGGCAAGUCGGAUGUGAAAGCCCACGGCUCAACCGUGGAAGCGCAUCCGAAACGGCCUCGCUCGAGUCUCGGAGAGGAAGGUGGAAUGCUUGGUGUAGAGGUGAAAUUCGUAGAUAUCAAGCAGAACACCUGCGGCGAAGGCGGCCUUCUGGACGAUGACUGACGCUGAGACGCGAAAGCGUGGGGAGCAAACAGG
rnacentral:rRNA from 1 species